AAGAGCUGCGCGGGGAGACCAGACUUCCUGCCUUGCGAUGGACUCUCCAUCUGCGCUACGCACAGCCACGGGAAGUGCUUCAAGCUGCACUGGUGCUGCCACUUGGGCUGGUGUCACUGAAUAAAAAGGAGCUUGCUUGGAAGAAAGUGAGUGAGGAGGUCGGAGAACCUGAACAUCCAGGUCCCAUCCCUGAUGAUGGCGAAGGCAGUGAUGCGGGCCACCUGUCGCUGCCAGAACCUGCUGCUGCUUCUGCCCCUCCUGAACCUGCCGUGGAAGCCCCUUCCACAUCGGCUGCUGUGCCCAGAGUGACCCCAAGGAGGAGGCUACAAACAAGGUCGAGGGAGCAGCCGACGGUUUUUAAAUUGGGGUAACAAUCUCUGCAGGGAAGGAAGCAGGCUUCAUCUCUCCUUUCUCCUCUCCUUCUUGUCCCUCACUCUUCCCUUCACUCCUCUCAUUCCUCCAAGCAAGCUCCUUUUUAUUCCUGUUUGUAAAUAGUUUAUAUUUGUGUAUGUAGUUUUUUAUAUUUUUGUUGUUCGUAUGUACAGU